CAGUCGCCGCGGGAACACGUAGGGUGCGAGCGUUAAUCGGAAUUACUGGGCGUAAAGCGUGCGCAGGCGGUUAUAUAAGACAGAUGUGAAAUCCCCGGGCUCAACCUGGGACCUGCAUUUGUGACUGUAUAGCUAGAGUACGGUAGAGGGGGAUGGAAUUCCGCGUGUAGCAGUGAAAUGCGUAGAUAUGCGGAGGAACACCGAUGGCGAAGGCAAUCCCCUGGACCUGUACUGACGCUCAUGCACGAAAGCGUGGGGAGCAAACAGGAUUAGAUACCCCGGUAGUCCCUGUCUCUUAUAC
rnacentral:rRNA from 1 species